CAUUGAAACACCGGUUCCCGUACGACUACAGAAAGUUAAGCAAUGUCGGGCCUGGUUAGUACCUAGAUGGGUGACCGCUUGGGAAUAACAGGUGCUGUAAG